AUUGAACGCUGGCGGCAGGCCUAACACAUGCAAGUCGAGCGGAGCGGCGGACGGGUGAGUAAUGCCUAGGAAUCUGCCUGGUCGUGGGGGAUAACGUCCGGAAACGGGCGCUAAUUACUACUACUAUCAGAUGAGCCUAGGUGGGAUUAGCUAGUUGGUGGGGUAAAGGCCUACCAAGGCGACGAUCCGUAACUGGUCUGAGAGGAUGAUCAGUCACACUGGGACUGAGACACGGACCAGACUCCUACGGGAGGCAGCAGUGGGGAAUAUUGGACAAUGGGCGAAAGCCUGAUGCAGCCAUGCCGCGUGUAUGAAGAAGGUCUUCGGAUUGUAAAGCACUUUAAGUUGGGAGGCGUUACCGACAGAAGAAGCACCGGCUAACUCCGUGCCAGCAGCCGCGGUAAUAC
rnacentral:rRNA from 1 species